rnacentral:tRNA from 1 species
GGGAUUUUUCAUAUGGUUCAGUGGUAGAAUGCUCGCCUGCCACGCGGGCGGCCCGGGUUCGAUUCUCGGCCGAUGCA